CGCUGGCGGCGUGCCUAACACAUGCAAGUCGAGCGAGGAGAUCCUUCGGGAUGAUCCUAGCGGCGGACGGGUGAGUAACACGUGGGCAACCUGCCUCAUAGAGAGGAAUAGCCUUCCGAAAGGGAGAUUAAUACCUCAUAACAUUGCAGUUUCGCAUGGAACAGCAAUUAAAGGAGCAAUCCGCUAUGAGAUGGGCCCCGCGGCGCAUUAGCUAGUUGGUGAGGUAACGGCUCACCAAGGCGACGAUGCGUAGCCGACCUGAGAGGGUGAUCGGCCACAUUGGGACUGAGACACGGCCCAGACUCCUACGGGAGGCAGCAGUGGGGAAUAUUGCACGAAUGGGGGAAACCCUGAUGCAAGCAACGCCGCGUGAGUGAUGACGGCCUUCGGGUUGUAAAGCUCUGUCUUCAGGGACGAUAAUGACGGUACCUGAGGAGGAAGCCACGGCUAACUACGUGCCAGCCGCAGC
rnacentral:rRNA from 1 species